rnacentral:rRNA from 1 species
UACGUAGGGGGCAAGCGUUGUUCGGAAUUACUGGGCGUAAAGGGCGCGUAGGCGGCACGGCAAGUCAGGAGUGAAAGCCCUGGGCUCAACCCGGGAACUGCUUUUGAAACUGCCGAGCUGGAGUGCGGAAGGGGCAACUGGAAUUCCCAGUGUAGCGGUGAAAUGCGUAGAUAUUGGGAAGAACACCUGAGGCGAAGGCGGGUUGCUGGGCCGACACUGACGCUGAUGCGCGAAAGCCAGGGGAGCGAACGGG